UACGUAGGGGGCUAGCGUUGUCCGGAUUUAUUGGGCGUAAAGAGCGUGUAGGCGGCCAGGUAGGUCCGCUGUGAAAACUCGAGGCUCAACCUCGAGCUGUCGGUGGAAACCGCGUGGCUAGAGUCCGGAAGAGGGGACUGGAAUUCCCGGUGUAGCGGUGGAAUGCGCAGAUAUCGGGAGGAACACCCGUGGCGAAGGCGGGUCCCUGGGACGGUACUGACGCUGAGACGCGAAAGCGUGGGGAGCGAACAGG
rnacentral:rRNA from 1 species